AUGAAGACGAACACAUCUGUUUCUAGAAUGUUGACCUGUUUCUGUAUGCAAAAUGAACUAUUGGUACUUUAUAAAACUGAAAUAUGGCAAUGGUUGCUGACAAGGAAUUUGUGCUUAAUGGAUUUCUAUUUUCUCCCUCAUUUGAACCAUACUGAAGAUGAUACGGUCAAAUUAUUUGAGGUGGCUUAUCCUGGUUUAUUUUUGUCAUAUGAAGUGCCAAAUAUCAAUAUUCUACAUUUGCUGCCAAUAUUUUACAAAUUAGCUUCAUUUAUUUACUGGUGUGCGUCUUUUUUUUCUUGA
rnacentral:rRNA from 1 species